UUUUUUAAAACUUUCCCAACUUUAAAACAAACACUGCCUUUAUAUUUCAUUACAAAGUGGAACUUAUUUGAAUAAGGAUGAACUGAAGCUCAGCAAACUGUACUUAAUAAUUUUGGGGGUUAAUGUGAGAUGGAGAAAAUAAAAGAAAAUUGAUUCUCGUGCAUGGCAAGGAAAACCACAACCAGACUACAGGAUGAUUUUCUUUGGAAUAUGUUUUGUAUUAUAGGGAAUGAAAAACAAUCAGC